CUCCUACAGACAUCAUUAUCUGGAAUGUAAUGAAAGGGGCCCGAUACAUCUCUGUGUCAUGAAAGUUUUGAAAUGUUACUGAGACAGUCAUGUUUCUGGAACAGCACAGGAUGUAGGUCAAUCUUGGCUGUGUCCUACAGGUGGGAGGAUCAAGGCAACACAUCCUGGGCAUUUUCAGGGAUUACAGGCUGGCAGCUGCUGACACCGAUGUGUAGCACAGGGAGCAGUUGGGCUGUGCAGUGUUUGCUUCCAGCGAGUGCCCCUGUUGUCUCCUUGGAGUUGCUGCUCCAUCCUGAAAAAACAUUACUGAGACACCACUGGUGCUGCUUUGCAGGAGGAUGUUCUCAGGACUCUGGCACACAAGGUGAAGUACCAGCCAGCUUUUCUGACAGCAAGGAAAAGUGUCUUGAAUGUUUCUCUAGAAAGUACAGUGGGUUUUCUUUUUAA
rnacentral:lncRNA from 1 species